UACGUAGGGGGCUAGCGUUGUCCGGAAUCAUUGGGCGUAAAGAGCGCGUAGGCGGUGCGGUAAGUCUGCGGUGAAAUCUCCCGGCUCAACUGGGAGGCUGCCGUGGAAACUGCCGUGCUUGAGUGUGGGAGAGGUGAGUGGAAUUCCCGGUGUAGCGGUGAAAUGCGUAGAUAUCAGGAGGAACACCGGUGGCGAAGGCGGGUCUCUGGGCCGAUACUGACGCUGAGGAGCGAAAGCCAGGGGAGCGAACGGG
rnacentral:rRNA from 1 species